rnacentral:misc_RNA from 1 species
UGUGAAAAAGGCGAACGAAGCGGAAAGCAAACGAAGCAAAGAGUCGCCCGAAGCGAGUCGUUUGGACGAGGGACGAGGGAAAGAAAACUUGAGCAUUUUCGCCACGUCGAAUGGAGCCAAGUUCCAAGCUGGAGUUGGAGGCGUCCGAGUCGCUGUGAGCUGGACUAGGUGGUCCACCGUUUGCCAACCCAUCCGGCGAGACUCCCAAACCCGGUAUCACAGCCGACGGGGAAGUUGCGAGUUCUUCCUCGAUCGGCAUGCUUCGUGGCCAAACCGGAAGGUCCAGCGGUGCUUGUUGUUGCAGGCUGAGGCUCUCGUAGUAGCUGGGGUUUGGGCUGGUCGAGUAACCGGAAAUCGGGCUGUAAAAACCCGGCACCACUCCUAGCAGCGUGCCCGGAUAGCGAACAGAGCCGUACGGACCAACGUGGCUUGGCAUUCUACCCGGAACGUAAACGAUCAUGUUUAUUCUUUCUUGUAUUUAUCUGUUCCCUUUAAUUUCGUUAUGUCGAGGAACUCGCCAAUUCGAUCGAAAAACGUGCAAAUUUUCCUGAUACCGGAUCGCCGUGUACGUUGCCUGGAUCAACGAGAAUUAUGGUGAGAAAGGAUCGGAAAAAUUGAAAAACUAUCGCGUUUACUUUGACGGACAAUUUGAUAGAAUUUGGAAUGGAUUUGCAGGAUGGAAAGGAGCACGUUGAAAUACGUAAGUUUUAGGAAUGUAAUCUUGUUUCAUCGGCUGCCUAUAUCUAUCUGGCUGUGAUCGACUCGUGCCACCCGUUGAUCGGAAUCGUCCUUUCCUCGAAUCGCGACCUCAAACGCCUCCGAAA